CUGCUAUUGGGACCCGAUUAAGCCAUGCGAGUCGAGAGGGUUCGGCCCUCGGCAGACUGCUCAGUAACACGUGGAUAACCUAACCUUAGGUGGAAAAUAACCUCGGGAAACUGAGAAUAAUAUUCCAUAGAUCUAGGAUGCUGGAAUGCAUCUAGAUUGAAAGUUCCGACGCCUAAGGAUGGGUCUGCGGACUAUCAGGUUGUAGUCAGGGUAAAGACCUGACUAGCCUACGACGGAUAUGGGUUGUGAGAGCAAUAGCCCAGAGACGAUAUCUGAGACACGAUAUCGGGCCCUACGGGGCGCAGCAGGCGCGAAAUCUUCACAAUGUGCGAAAGCACGAUGAGGGGAUCCCAAGUGCUGGCACGUAAGUGUCAGCUGUUUCUUAGUCUAAAAAACUGAGAGAGUAAGGGCUGGGUAAGACGGGUGCCAGCCGCCGCGGUAAUACCUGCAGCUCAAGUGGUGGCCGCUAUUAUUGGGCCUAAAACGUCCGUAGCCUGUUUAGUAAAUGCUUGGGUAAAUUGUAUAGCUUAACUAUACGAAUACCGAGUAGACUGCUAAACUUGGGACCGGGAGAGGCUAGAGGUACUCCUGGGGUAGAGGUGAAAUUCUGUAAUCCUAGGGGGACCACCAGUGGCGAAGGCGUCUAGCUAGAACGGGUCUGACGGUGAGGGACGAAGCCCUGGGGCGCAAACCGGAUUAGAUACCCGGGUAGUCCAGGGUGUAAACGCUGCUUGCUUGAUGUUAGUUGGGCUCCGAGCCCAACUAGUGUCGGAGAGAAGUUGUUAAGCAAGCUGCCUGGGAAGUACGGUCGCAAGACUGAAACUUAAAGGAAUUGGCGGGGAGCACAGCAACGGGUGGAGCGUGCGGUUU
rnacentral:rRNA from 1 species